rnacentral:rRNA from 1 species
UAUUGGACAAUGGGGGCAACCCUGAUCCAGCCAUGCCGCGUGAGUGAUGAAGGUCUUAGGAUUGUAAAGCUCUUUCACCGGUGAAGAUAAUGACGGUAACCGGAGAAGAAGCACCGGCUAACUUCGUGCCAGCAGCCGCGGCAAUACGAAGGGGGCUAGCGUUGUUCGGAAUUACUGGGCGUAAAGCGCACGUAGGCGGAUAUUUAAGUCAGGGGUGAAAUCCCAGAGCUCAACUCUGGAACUGCCUUUGUUACUGGGUAUCUGGAGUAUGGAAGAGGUGAGUGGAAUUCCGAGUGUAGAGGUGAAAUUCGUAGAUAUUCGGAGGAACACCAGUGGCGAAGGCGGCUCACUGGUCCAUUACUGACGCUGAGGUGCGAAAGCGUGGGGAGCAAACAG